rnacentral:rRNA from 1 species
UACGAAGGGGCUAGCGUUGCUCGGAAUCACUGGGCGUAAAGCGCACGUAGGCCGAUUGUUAAGUCAGGGUGAAAUCCUGGAGCUCAACUCCAGAACUGCCCUUGAUACUGACGGUCUCGAGUCCGGGAGAGGUGAGUGGAACUGCGAGUGUAGAGGUGAAAUUCGUAGAUAUUCGCAAGAACACCAGUGGCGAAGGCGGCUCACUGGCCGGGUACUGACGCUGAGGUG